AGAUGUGCACAGUAAGGAAAAGGAGAUUUGGGGAUCGUUUUUAAUCAUAAGUAGUAGUGCAGAAGAAAGAGCUGAGAGAGAGAGCACAGGCUGGGUUUUGAGUGAAACGCUGUUCCUACUGCUGGCUGCAUUCACGCACCAGAAGCACAUCUUUGAGGUGGAGAGCCCUGGCUGCUCUGGCUGGGGGCCAUCAGUAUUCAUGCCUGGAAAGGAUCUCUUCCUGUUACAGCCUCCCUGGCAUCCUGGGCUUCAGAAGACUCAAGUCACAAGUCUCAUUCUGGGAGAACGCGGGCUUGAAGCUCUCAUGUGCCAUCUCCAGCAGCUCUCGGGGCCUGGUCACGGUUCCUGCAGACCCCUCUGCUGUGUUCCUCCUAGCACUUCGCCCUGCCACAUGGGUACCUGGUUUGUUAAGCACCACCUUCCUUUACAAAAGAAAAGCUCUCUAACUCCACUGUCUGCACUGGAAGGAUACAGCUUGGGAGCUUCAGCUGGUUAUGCACUGCAGAAGGGCAGCUGGGAUAGCCUUUGAGAAAUGGCCAUGAAGACCAAGAGUAGCAGAACGCUACAGCUUGAACAGCUCUCUUAAGCCUGGGUCUGUGAGCUCUCUGAUGGAACUCGGGAGCCAUGGAGCCUAUGGCUCUGCUUAAGGCAGCACUGGGACUGCACUUGGAGAGCUCAGCUCUGGAUCACCCUCUCUGAGGCAGCAGCUUUUCCUGAAGCCUGUGAGCCCACAUUGUCUAAGCCCACAAAGAAACAUAGCUGGAUUUGUCCUCUGCAGCUUCUGGCUGGCCUAAACUGAGGGGCACCCUUCCUGGACCUGCUUCCUGCAUGACACUGCACCGUGGUACCCUGGGAUCUUCUCUGAGAACCACACCCAUCCAUAGGGGUCCUUCCCAGAGCUCCUGAGUCAGCCUCGAGACCAAGACAUCUCGCCCAUCUCCUCCUCCAGCUCCUGCUUGGAGGCCUUGCUUCCACUGUACAGCAAGCCCAGGACUUAGAAGUCCUGACUGUGGGGACCAGAGACUAAACCCCUCCAUGGGUGUGCUCCUGCUCUGUGCCUCGGUUUUCUGUGGAUGUGUUUCCCUGUCCUGUGGCCAGAGAGCUCAGAGCAGCCUGCUUAGAGUGGUGUCCAGGUUGGGCCCACAGUGCUCUCAAAGACUGAACCAUUUUUAAGUUGGUUGUAUUUUCCAUUAACAUGGGGUUUAACCCUCCAUUCCACCUCAAUAAUUAUUAACUAGCAGAUGAGCACCCUUGAUAACAUCUGUGAGCUGCGAUACGUGUUUUAAUGUUGACUCAAGGUUGAACUUUGGGCUGCUUGCCUUGAGAUGGCAAAAUUGUCUUCUAAGACUACACUUUUCCAUCCUUCCCUGUCAAUUGUGAGUGGAGCCUGACUCCCCUGGCUGAGGAUGCUGGGAACUGGAUUCCAGAGCACACCCCACCCUGGAGUUCUCUUCUUCCCGACUAGCUGAGAGCCAGACUGACCCUGGGGACAGCAGUGACAGAGUAAAAGGCUCAGACAGGAAGACUUGCUAAGAGAUGGUGGAGAGAGCGGAGCGACGUGAGACAAGGGUCAAAGUCUUGCAAGGCACAGGCUUCCCGCCCCUCCACCCUCUGACCACCGGUUAGUUGGUCUUGGUGUCAGCCUCUGGGGUGGAUGUGGAGGGAACGGAGCCCCCAGCUGUGCUCUGGCCUACAGAGGCGGGCCUGAUUGCAGACUGCUGGUCCGUGGCAUCUGGGCCCACAGCACCC